rnacentral:misc_RNA from 1 species
GUAGGUGAACCUGCGGAAGGGUCAUUAUCGAGUUUUGAAACGGGUUGUAGCUGGUCCCUCGGGGCAUGUGCACGCCUGGCUCAUUCCACUCUUCAACCCCUGUGCACUUAUUGUAGGUCGGCGAAAGGCUUCAAAGCUGGAAGCCUUCCUAUGUUUUUACUACAAACGCUUCAGUUAUAGAAUGGUAUCAUCUUGCGUAUAAUGCAAAAAAUCUAUAUACAACUUUCAGCAACGGAUCUCUUGGCUCUC